rnacentral:rRNA from 1 species
CGUAAAGCGCACGCAGGCGGUUUGUUAAGUCAGAUGUGAAAUCCCCGGGCUCAACCUGGGAACUGCAUUUGAAACUGGCAAGCUAGAGUCUCGUAGAGGGGGGUAGAAUUCCAGGUGUAGCGGUGAAAUGCGUAGAGAUCUGGAGGAAUACCGGUGGCGAAGGCGGCCCCCUGGACGAAGACUGACGCUCAGGUGCGAAAGCGUGGGGAGCAAACAGGAUUAGAUACCCUGGUAGUCCACGCCGUAAACGAUGUCGACUUGGAGGUUGUGCCCUUGAGGCGUGGCUUCCGGAGCUAACGCGUUAAGUCGACCGCCUGGGGAGUACGGCCGCAAGGUUAAAACUCAAAUGAAUUGACGGGGGCCCGCACAAGCGGUGGAGCAUGUGGUUUAAUUCGAUGCAACGCGAAGAACCUUACCUACUCUUGACAUCCAGA